rnacentral:siRNA from 3 species
UUCUUGACCUUGUAAGACCCA